UACGGAGGAUCCGAGCGUUAUCCGGAUUUAUUGGGUUUAAAGGGAGCGUAGGUGGAUUGUUAAGUCAGUUGUGAAAGUUUGCGGCUCAACCGUAAAAUUGCAGUUGAAACUGGCAGUCUUGAGUACAGUAGAGGUGGGCGGAAUUCGUGGUGUAGCGGUGAAAUGCUUAGAUAUCACGAAGAACUCCGAUUGCGAAGGCAGCUCACUGGACUGCAACUGACACUGAGGCUCGAAAGUGUGGGUAU
rnacentral:rRNA from 1 species